GGAUGUGAGUGCAAUCUGGUUGCAACAUUGUCACUCCACUGGUUGCCAGAGUUGGUCCAGUCACUCUGGCUGCUCUACGUGUCCUUCCUGAAGUUCUACCCUUGGUUGAGGAGCACACCUUUCCCCACAGAGGACCAUGCUUUGGUCUGGGAUUCGGUAGUAGCUGCGCUCUCCUGCUAGAACCUCCAAAUAGUUCCUAAGAGGAAACAGUGUGGUCUGCAUCUGUGGGUGUUGGGGAACAAAUUACUGGGUUGUAGGAGGGGCAGUCCCCUCCUCCAAUCCAC
rfam:Cavia porcellus supercont2_8 genomic scaffold, whole genome shotgun sequence.